GUCGAUCAAAAAAGAGAGCGUCAAGGAAGAAGAGAUGAUCAAACCAAUUAGUGAUCACGAUCACAUGACCAACCACAACCGAUCUUCGUCGUCGUCUGAUUAUCUCAUGUCGUCGGGUCUAGGUGUGUUUGAGUCCUCCGGCGACCUCAACAGUGAGUUCUCCGGCGACCUCAACAGUGAGUUCUCUUCAACGGCCGUGUACGAUCACGAUGAUGUGAUUUCUAGGAUAAUGGGGGGAUGCUUCGACAUUGAAGUUGAUUUUUCAUAUGAAUUUUGACGAGAACGUACUUGUAUUUUGGGUACUUAAUGUGUAGGAAAA
rnacentral:lncRNA from 1 species